GGCUCCGCCCCACUCCGCCCCUUGCUCCCCUGGAAGGGAAGGCUUAGGGGCGGGGGCGGGGGCGUGGUCAAGCCGUAUAAGAACGGAGGGGGCGGCGGCAGGUCCGCUCACUCGGUGCCGCUGCUUGGGGGCUGUAGUGACCGUGCCGCUCCUGCUGGGGGCUGCCCACGCCAAGGACCUGCCUCUGUCGUCCCUCUUCCGCCGCCCAGGUGAGUCCCCGGCCCCCACCCUUAAAGGUGAGAGGAUGCGGCGGCCCCAGAGAACUGCGCGCUCUGCCUUCGGGGGCCUGUCUCCGUCGGGUGGAGCUCCAGUUUCCUCAGAGCCCGGUGGGGAGCCGAGGGGAGGUGCGGACAGGUGCGGGCCGCGUUGCCCCCUUCCCCUCCCGCCCCCGCGACGACAUCCCCACACACAUCCACCGCCCCCGAGGACCAGGCGAGACGCCCCGAGAGAGAGCUACAACUUUCCAGAGACUUCGUCCGGGGCUUGGCAAACUUCGGCGAGUUCCUGCUCCGCGCGUCCCUCGGGCUGCGCGCCGACCGGCGCGGGCGGGGCGGCCGAAGAGCUUGUGAUGGGGGCCUUCAGCCCCUUCCCGGCCCGACGGCGCCCCUGCCGCCCCGUCCUUGCUUGCGCUCUCGCGGGCACGCACACCGCCGCAGGCCAGCCGAGCGCGAAUUCGAAUGCGGCGGUUUCGGGAGGCGCAGUUGGAGACGCAGCGGUCAGGGGCUCGUAUCAGGCCGGGGAGGGGAGGAGCGCUUCCCCGGCUGGGCGCCAAGCCCGGGGUUUCGAGGGAGGCAGUCUGGCUGGACCAGCAGGGGUUCUGUCCUUUGACAUUCUUGUUUGUGAAGAUGGAAAACUUAAUAUCUCUGGAGUCAAGCUUUUACUUGAGAUAACUGAAACCUUGUGCCUUAAGUUUCC
rnacentral:lncRNA from 1 species